rnacentral:rRNA from 1 species
GCCUACAUGAAGCCGGAAUUGCUAGUAAUGGCAGGUCAGCAUACUGCCGUGAAUACGUUCCCGGGCCUUGUACACACCGCCCGUCACACCAUGAGAGUUGGGGAUACCCGAAGCCUGUGAGCCAACUAUAUAGAGGCAGCAGUCGAAGGUAGAAUCAAUGAUUGGGGUGAAGUCGUAACAAGGUAGC